CCACAAUGGUUCAGAGUUCAAUAAGUCUACUUAUUGCCAGCCGGGGACAGGACCGUGUAGGCCGUGUUAGUUAACACCGUGAGAAAGGAUCUAACCAUUCACAACUAGAUUAAGUGAUGUACUGGACUUGACAGGGUCGCUGUGACAAGGCAUCAUGAACUAGGAUUUCUUUGAAGAAGGACAACUGACAUUCGCAAUUACUUCAUGGGCGACAGAUGUUCAGCUUUGAAGAUGUCAACAUCCCAGGCUGAACCUCCCGCAGGACGACGAUGGAUGGCAGCAGGCAGGGUUCGAAGCUCAAAACCGGGACCAUUGUGAAUUUAUCAUAUCUCCUACAAUAUCAUUGUUUAUGUAGCGUCAGAUUGUGCUAUAUAGAUAUAAUAUAAAUAAAUAAAUAAAUAAAUGUAUAUACAUAUAUAAACAAAACAAAACAAAACAAAACCAAAAACUAUCAUUGGACUUCUGUGAUGAAACUUAGUCCUAUUGUUAUAAACAAAAGACAGAAAAAAAAAUUAUACACAGACAUGCUGAGGUUUUGAUCUUUUAUUCCGACAUUGAGGUAUUUUUCGUAGUCCUUUUACCGAAUGUCAUCGUGGAUUAUAUUUUGUUAAAAUUAAAAAUGUCAUUUUAUUUCUUCUUUGACGUCAUUCUUUUUACUACCUUUAGGAUGACACAAUCA